UACGUAGGGCGCAAGCGUUAUCCGGAAUUAUUGGGCGUAAAGAGCUCGUAGGCGGUUUGUCGCGUCUGCCGUGAAAGUCCGGGGCUCAACUCCGGAUCUGCGGUGGGUACGGGCAGACUAGAGUGCAGUAGGGGAGACUGGAAUUCCUGGUGUAGCGGUGAAAUGCGCAGAUAUCAGGAGGAACACCGAUGGCGAAGGCAGGUCUCUGGGCUGUAACUGACGCUGAGGAGCGAAAGCAUGGGGAGCGAACAGGA
rnacentral:rRNA from 1 species